rnacentral:rRNA from 1 species
UACGGAGGGGGCUAGCGUUGUUCGGAGUUACUGGGCGUAAAGGGUGUGUAGGCGGUUGUUUAAGUUUGGUGUGAAAUCUCCCGGCUCAACUGGGAGGGUGCGCCGAAUACUGAAUGACUUCGAGUGCGGGAGAGGAGAGUGGAAUUCCUGGUGUAGCGGUGAAAUUCGUAGAUAUUCGGAAGAACACCAGUGGCGAAGGCGACUCACUGGACACAUAUUGACGCUGAGGUGCGAAAGCGUGGGGAGCAAACAGG